rnacentral:rRNA from 1 species
CUUCUUUCCUCCCGAGUGCUUGCACUCAAUUGGAAAGAGGAGUGGCGGACGGGUGAGUAACACGUGGGUAACCUACCCAUCAGAGGGGGAUAACACUUGGAAACAGGUGCUAAUACCGCAUAACAGUUUAUGCCGCAUGGCAUAAGAGUGAAAGGCGCUUUCGGGUGUCGCUGAUGGAUGGACCCGCGGUGCAUUAGCUAGUUGGUGAGGUAACGGCUCACCAAGGCCACGAUGCAUAGCCGACCUGAGAGGGUGAUCGGCCACACUGGGACUGAGACACGGCCCAGACUCCUACGGGAGGCAGCAGUAGGGAAUCUUCGGCAAUGGACGAAAGUCUGACCGAGCAACGCCGCGUGAGUGAAGAAGGUUUUCGGAUCGUAAAACUCUGUUGUUAGAGAAGAACAAGGACGUUAGUAACUGAACGUCCCCUGACGGUAUCUAACCAGAAAGCCACGGCUAACUACGUGCCAGCAGCCGCGG